AUGUGUCGCUUAUCCUGGGGUCAAGGGACCCAUCUACAGCUGUGGACACUUCUGUGCCCUUCAUGCUUGGAAAAUCCCCAGCAUGUUCCUUUUUUUAAUAUUAGCUGGACUUAUACAUGCACAUGCAUCUGCACACACACUUUAUAGAUAUAAAAUAUAGAGAGAUUUAUAUUCAAAUUUAUUUAUAUAAUAUAAAGUAUGUGUAUCUAUAUACACACAUUGCAUUUUUAUACACUUUAUAUACAAACCAGCAUUAAAAAAGUCAAAGGAAUACAGAUUUAUCUAUACAUUAUUUAAAUAGAUAAUUAUACAUAUAUGUAGAUAGAUUAUAUUUAUGUAAUAUUGAUAUAUAUCUAUAUAAAUAUAUAGUAUAUGUAGUUACUUAGAAAUAAAUAUAAAUAUAUAUGUAUUUAGAAAUAAAUAACGUAAAAAUCUAUAUAAUAAAGAUAUAUACAUAUAAAUAUAUAGAUUUAUAAUAUAGGUAUGUAGAUAUAAUAUAAAAGUGUGAUGCUGGGCGCAGUGGCUCACGCCUGUAAUCCCAACACUUUGGCAGGGAGGCAGGCUGAUCACCUGAGGUCAGGAGUUUGAGACCAGCCUGGCCAACAUGGUGAAACCCCGUCUUUACUAAAAAUACAAAAAUUAGCCGAGUGUGGUGGUGGGUGCCUGUAAUCCCGGCUACUUGGGAGGCUGAGGCAGGAGAAUUGCUUGAACCCGGGAGGCAGAGGUUGCAGUGAGCCAAGAGCACGCCAUUGCACUCCAGCCUGGGCAAUAAGAGCUCAACUCCGUCUCAAAUUAAACAAAUAAUAAUAUAAAGUGUGUAUACCUAUAUAUAGAUAUAUUGCAUUUUUUUUUGAGAUGGAGUCUUACUCUGUCUCCCAGGCUGGAGUGCAGUGAUGCGAUCUUGGCUCACUGCAACUUCCACCUCCCAGGAUCAAGCGAUUCUCCUGCCUCAACCUCCCGAGUAGCUGGAAUUACAUGCACUUGCCACCACACCUAGCUAAUUUUUGUAAUUUUUUUUUCAUAGAGACGGGGUUUCACCAUGUUGAUCACAACCUCAAGUGAUCUGCCCACCUUGGCCUCCCAAAGUGCUGGGAUUGUAGGAGGCAUGAGCCACUCUGACUAGACACAUUGGUUUUUUUACACUUUAUGUACAAGCUAGCAUACAGAAAACUCAAAGGAAUAUAUUUAUCUAUACAUCAUGUAAAUAGAUAAGUAUAUAUAUAUAUUUAUCUAUAAAUUAUAUAUAUUUAUAAAUAUCCAUAUAUAGUAUAUAUUUAGCAAUAUAUAAAUAUAGCUAUAUAUUUAGAAAUAUAUAAAUAUAUAUAUAUGUAGAUCUGUAUAAUAUAAAUCUGUAGGUAUCAAUAUAUAGCUGUAUAUAAUGUAACAAAUAUAUAAUAUAGGUGUGUACAUAUAGUGUAUAUCUCUACAGAGACAUUGCAUUUUUAUAUACUUUAUUUACCAACUAGCAUACAGAAAAGUCAAAGGAAUGUAGAUUUGUCUAUACCUUAUAUAAAUAGAUAAUUAUAUAUACAGAUUUAUCUAUAAAUUAUAUAUAAUGUUUAUAUAAAAUAUAUAGCAUAGCUAUUUGGAAAUACAUAAAUGUAUAUAAAUCUAUAUAUAUUUAGAAAUAUAUGCAAAUAAUAAAUGUAUAUGUAAAUAUGUAUAAUAUAGCUAUAUAGAUAUGUAUCAAUAUAUGGCUGUAUGUAAAUAUAUAAUAUAGGUAUAUAGAUAUAACAUAAAAGUGUGUAUAUCUCUCUACAGACACAUUGCAUUUUUAUACACUUUAUAUGCAACCCAUACAAGAAGUCAAAGGAAUGAAAUGCAUGUUUUAAGACUGAGAACUUUGGCCAGGCGUGGUGGCUCAUGCUUGUAAUCCCAGCACUUUGGGAGGCCGAGGCAGGCGGAUCACCUGAGGUCGGGAGUUCGAGACCAGCCUGACCAACAUGGAGAAACCCUGUCUCUACUAAAAAUACACAGCUGGACGUGGUGACACAUCCCAGUAAUUCCAGCUACUUGGGAGGCUGAGGCAGGAGAAUCGCUUGAACCUGGGAGGUGGAGGUUGCAGUGAGCUGAGAUCACACCACUGCACUCCAGCCUGGGCAACAAGAGCAAAACUCUGGCUCAAAAAAACAAAAAACAAAACAAAAAGAGUGGGAGCUUUAAGUAACUGCAGUCACAUGCCACUUAAUGAUGGAGCUGGCCUCUGAGAAAUGUGUGCUUAGGUGAUUUUGUCUUUGUGCACGCAUAGGGUGGACUCACACAGACCUGGCUGGCCCAGCCUCUGACACACCAAGGGUAUAUGGCAGAUUCUUUUGCUCCCAGGCUACAAAUGUAGAUGGUAUGUGGCUAUGCUGAGUAACACAAGGAAUGGUCAGCAUGUGUGCAUCUAAGCAUCCCUAAGCUUAGACAAGGGGCAGUAAAAAUACAGCACAAAACCUGAAAACUGGCGCCUGUAUAAGGCACUCAGCAUGAGUGGAGCUCGCAGAACGGAAUGUUGCGCUGGGUGAGUGAGUGAGGGAGGUGUGAGUGGGUGUGAAGGCCAGGACAUUCAUUCCUGUGCACCGAUGAAGGCCUCAUCAACUCUGUACACUUAGGCUGCACUCAGUUCAUUUUAACAAGAUUCAUUCUUCACUAAGGAAUUAACCUUAGCCGACUGGAACUUUUUUAUUCUAUUAACUUUUUAAAUGUCGUUUUAACGUUUCGAUUAUUUUGCUAAUAAUACUUAGCCUAAAACACAAGCAUAUUAUGCAGCUGUACACCAAUAUUCUCUUUCUUCUAUAAACUAUUUUCCCUUUUUUGCUUUUUAAAUAUUUUUGUUCAAAACUGAGGUCCACACACAUUAGUGUAAGCCUGCACAGGGUCAGGAUGCCCGGCCUCCCUGUCUUCCUCCUCCACACGCGACUGCAGUGCAAAGUCUUCAGAAGCAGUAACACACAUGGUCACAACGCCUUUGAGAAUCCCUCCCAAGGGACCUGCCUGAGGCUGCCUCACACUUAACUUUUUAACAUAAGGCGAAGGAGCACACUAAAUGGUAACAAUCAAAAGAGUAUAGGUUGCGCGCAGUGAGUGGCUCACUCCUGUAAUCCCAACACUUUGGGAGGCCAAGGCAGGAGGACUGCUUGAGCCCAAGAGUUCCAGACCAGCCCGGGCAACAACAGUGAGACCCAUCUCUACAUAACAUACAACAAUUAGCCAGGCGUGGUGGUGCGCGCCUGUAGUCCCUGCUACUUGGGAGACUGAGGCAUGAGAAUUGCUUGAACCCAGUAGGUGGAGGUUGCAGUGAGCCGAUAUGGCGCCACUGCACUCCAGCCUGGAUGACAGAGUGAGACUCUGGCCACUGCACCUCCCCGCCAAAAAUGUAGAGUAUAGUAAAUAGAUAAACCAAGGCCAUAGUCAUUAAUAUCAUUACCAACUAUUAGGUGCUGCAGAUAACAUACGUGUUAGACUGUUAUACGGCUGGCAGUGCAACAGGAGGGAUGUGCUGUCCUGUGGUUACAAUGGCCGUGAUGUCACUAGGGGAUAGGAGUUUUUAAGAUCGUUAUAAUCUUAUGGGAGCACCACUGUAUAUGUCAUCCAUUAUUGACUGAAGCAUCAU
rnacentral:lncRNA from 1 species